ensembl:lncRNA
CUGGGUUUGGGUCCCAGGACCUGCUGAGUUUCAGCUCAGCAUCCAGGUAGACUGAGGAAGGCAGCAAGAGCUGGGGACCGAACCCAGGGCCUUGUGCUUGUUAGGCAAGUGCUCUACCACUGAGCUAAAUCCCCAACCCCUGUCUUUUUCUUUUUAACCCUCACUCCCUCCCUGGAGAACCGGUUGACUUAGUUGGCUUUGUCAAGCAAGCAUGUGAAAGGACACAGGACACAUGAUGAAGAAUUCUUGUCUAAUGACGUGAAUGUAUUAGUUGACCUUACAUUUGCGUAUUGAGCUCCAUUUGUUGGGACUCCAUAGAGAGAAAUGCAUCCAAAAACUUCUGGUGGUGUGCUGCAGUUUCUUGCCACUUCUGGGGACUCUGACUGAUUGGCAGAGUGAUGUCAGAUGAACACACAUGCUGAGGCAAGACCUUGGAGGACAGGUGAUGUUUGGAAAGAGUACAAAAGGACUCGAUGGACAGUGAUGGGGGUUGAGCUUGGCUUGCAACAGAGCUGGCUGUACAACACUUGUGGGGAGAUAAGCACAGCUGAGAACUUCUGGUCCCUCCUGAUGACUCGUGCUGAGGCUGAGGCCUGGCUGCCUGUGCUAGGUCAUGCCAUUGCUGCUAGUUCCUGUUUGCUAUCCUGACUACCGAACUGGAUUUCAGUGUAUCUGAAGUGUUCGCAAGAGGAUCAAGCUGCCACUGCUAACCUGUGAACUGAACCGUUCAUUUCCAGACAACACACGACUUUGGGGGUUUCUCCAAAGAACAGC